rnacentral:lncRNA from 1 species
GCAGGUUUCCUGGGGCCCCACCCUUGCUGUCCUAUCCUCCACACCUGCCAUCCUCGGGUGGCCACAGUCCCUACCAAAGGGGCUGAUCCCCAGACGUCUCGGCAAGUUCCAGGCUCUGUCCUAAGAAUGUUAUUCUAAACUUACAGCAUCCACUGAACAAAGUACUACGUGAGAGCCCUUUGAAGGAGGAGGAAACUGAGUUAACAAAGGUGCUUUGUCCGCCAGGUGUUAGAACUAAAUAUCAGGAACGAUGAACUUAAAAUCCAAGAAAACAGGAUGUCGAAGCCAAAAGGCCUCGCCACUUGGCUGCCCGACCUCGUGCAAGGUCAAACCUAAGGCAACCGCGGCAGAAAGUCUGUUUGCCUUCAAGAAACAAAGUCAUCCUCAAGCCAGCCACGACCCCUCCCCCAGCCUGGCCGCUGUGGGUGGGGGGACCAAAGCCCAUUCCCAGUUCUCCCUGGUCGCCCGGCUGGCCCCUUCUCCUGACCCCUUUCCCAAGCGCAGGAUCCGCCUGGUCCUUUCGCCUUGCUCACGGGGUCGUCUGUGUGCACUGGCUAGUUUAGAAAAAUAAACACCGUUCCAAA